rnacentral:rRNA from 1 species
GACGAACGCUGGCGGCGUGCUUAACCCAUGCCAGUCGAACGAAGUGGCGAACGGGUGAGUAACGCGUAAUCAACCUGCCCUUCAGAGGGGGACAACAGUUGGAAACGACUGCUAAUACCGCAUACUGAAGGAGGGGAUUGCGUCUGAUUCGCUCGUUGGAGGGGUAACGGCCCACCAAGGCGAUGAUCAGCAGCCUGUCUGAGAGGAUUAACGGCCACAUUGGGACUUGGACACGGCCCAGACUCCUACGGGAGGCAGCAGUGGGGAAUCUUCCGCAAUGGACGAAAGUCUGACGGAGCAACGCCGCGGGAGUGAUGACGGCCUUCGGGUUGUAAAGCUCUGUUAAUCGGGACGCGGUACCGGAAUAGAAAGCCACGGCGAACUACGAGCCAGCAGCCGCGGUAAUAC